rnacentral:rRNA from 1 species
UACGGAGGGUGCAAGCAUUGAUCGGAAUUACUGGGCGUGAAGGGCGCGUAGGCCGAUAUGUAAGUCAGAUGUGAAAUCCCGGGGCUCAACCUCGGAACAGCAUUUGAAACUGCAAAUCUAGAGGGUAGGCGGAGAAAACGGAAUUCCACAAGUAGCGGUGAAAUGCGUAGAUAUGUGGAAGAACACCGGCGGCGAAGGCGGUUUUCUAGCUUACUCCUGACGCUGAGGCGCGAAAGCAAGGGGAU